rnacentral:rRNA from 1 species
GACGAACGCUGGCGGCGUGCUUAACACAUGCAAGUCGAACGGAAAGGCCCUGCUUUUGUGGGGUGCUCGAGUGGCGAACGGGUGAGUAACACGUGAGUAACCUGCCCUUGACUUUGGGAUAACUUCAGGAAACUGGGGCUAAUACCGGAUAGGAGCUCCUGCUGCAUGGUGGGGGUUGGAAAGUUUCGGCGGUUGGGGAUGGACUCGCGGCUUAUCAGCUUGUUGGUGGGGUAGUGGCUUACCAAGGCUUUGACGGGUAGCCGGCCUGAGAGGGUGACCGGCCACAUUGGGACUGAGAUACGGCCCAGACUCCUACGGGAGGCAGCAGUGGGGAAUAUUGCACAAUGGGCGGAAGCCUGAUGCAGCAACGCCGCGUGCGGGAUGACGGCCUUCGGGUUGUAAACCGCUUUCGCCUGUGACGAAGCGUGAGUGACGGUAAUGGGUAAAGAAGCACCGGCUAACUACGUGCCAGCAGCCGCGGUGAUACGUAGGGUGCGAGCGUUGUCCGGAUUUAUUGGGCGUAAAGGGCUCGUAGGUGGUUGAUCGCGUCGGAAGUGUAAUCUUGGGGCUUAACCCUGAGCGUGCUUUCGAUACGGGUUGACUUGAGGAAGGUAGGGGAGAAUGGAAUUCCUGGUGGAGCGGUGGAAUGCGCAGAUAUCAGGAGGAACACCAGUGGCGAAGGCGGUUCUCUGGGCCUUUCCUGACGCUGAGGAGCGAAAGCGUGGGGAGCGAACAGGCUUAGAUACCCUGGUAGUCCACGCUGUAAACGGUGGGUACUAGGUGUGGGGUCCAUUCCACGGGUUCCGUGCCGUAGCUAACGCUUUAAGUACCCCGCCUGGGGAGUACGGCCGCAAGGCUAAAACUCAAAGGAAUUGACGGGGCCCCGCACAAGCGGCGGAGCACGCGGAUUAAUUCGAUGCAACGCGUAGAACCUUACCUGGGUUUGACAUGGAUCGGGAGUGCUCAGAGAUGGGUGUGCCUCUUUUGGGGUCGGUUCACAGGUGGUGCAUGGCUGUCGUCAGCUCGUGUCGUGAGAUGUUGGGUUAAGUCCCGCAACGAGCGCAACCCUUGUUCACUGUUGCCAGCACGUUAUGGUGGGGACUCAGUGGAGACCGCCGGGGUCAACUCGGAGGAAGGUGGGGAUGACGUCAAGUCAUCAUGCCCCCUUAUGUCCAGGGCUUCACGCAUGCUACAAUGGCUGGUACAGAGAGUGGCGAGCCUGUGAGGGUGAGCGAAUCUCGGAAAGUCGGUCUCAGUUCGGAUUGGGGUCUGCAACUCGACCUCAUGAAGUCGGAGUCGCUAGUAAUCGCAGAUCAGCAACGCUGCGGUGAAUACGUUCCCGGGGC